rnacentral:lncRNA from 1 species
GGCCCUAUAUCAAUUGAUCUUUGCUAGAGGACUGGCUCGUAACCUUUGCCUGGGAAAUAUGAUAUUGUUUACAUGUAAACCAUUUCCAUGGCAGGGAAAAACUUAAUUUUCUCUUCAUAAUUUACAAUAAAACCUCAAUAAUUAUUUUCCUCUAAUUUUCCUCAAUUAUUACUCAUGCUCAAGUCCAACCACUGUUUAGCUGUUACAGGACAAGUCUGCCAAUGUUACUGUCAAAACCUUACUGUAUAAAUAACAGUAAGCA